UAUUUGAUCAAGUAAUAUGCCUGUUAGUUCUCAAUUGAGCGUUUUAAUAUUUUAAUAAGUUUUCUUGGACUAUAUAAGAGCUUACAAGACAAUGUAUUAUUAGUAACUGAUGCGACACCAUGCUCUUGAAAAGUUUAUACCUGUUCUUCAUCAUGUGUUUUUUAAGCAUACCAGCAAUUAUGGCAAGCCGUCAAGCACAUGUGCGGCGGCCAGUUAUAAUCAGAUCGUCUCAUCGUGGUUCGGGCAGAAGAGGCUAAAAGCCUUUGUUUUAACUAUGUGUAAUUAACACAUUUGUAUAAAUAAAAAAUAAAAUGCUUUUUGCCAAAUUA